rnacentral:rRNA from 1 species
CCCUUAGAUGUUCUGGGCAGCACGCGCGCUACAAUGGUCUUCGCAAACGGAUGCAUUCUAGAAGGAGAAUGCCAAUCUUGGAAUCUAUGCCUUGGUCGGGACAGUUGCUUGCAAUUUUUCGACUCGAACCAGGAAUUCCUUGUAAUCGUGAUUCAUCACAUCACGAUGAAUACGUCCCUGCCCUUUGUACACACCGCCCGUCGCUCCUACCGAUCGAAGAGUUAGGUGAAUUGUUUUGAUCGAUAAGAUUUGACUAUGGUCAACUCUCGUUGUGAAAUUCUGUGAAUCUGACUGUUUAGAGGAAGGAAAAGUCGUAACA